GCGGCAGCUGCCCUUAUUUAUUUAUUUAUCCCCGCACAAAAAAUGGACGCGAUAAAAAUCACGCGAGGAAGGACAAGGAGGAGCCAAGGCGCCGGCGACGCGCUGGGAGGACCGAGCCCGGCGGCCGCGGGGGGGCAAGGGGGAGGGCGGGGAGAAGCUGCGUGGCCGCCGCUCCCGCCGCUCCCGCAGCUCCUGCCACCCGCAGGGCGGCCGGAGAGGGGAACCCGCUCGGCGGGGCCGGUCCCCGAGCGCAGCCCUAGGGAGGAGGAUAUGGCGCGGGGGCGAGGAGGUGGAGGCAGUGGGAAAGGCGAGGGGGAAGCCCCCGGGAAGGCAACAGAGCACCCAUAUCCCCGUCCCCUCGUAGGCCCCACGGCACGGUCCGCAGUUCGGGCAGACAACCGCAGAGCAACAAACAUCAAGGGAGCCGCGGGGUGUGCGCCGGGCCGGCCUCCGGUUCCCCCGAGCCGGGAAGCGCAUCGCUGUUCAGCCGUGCGAAUCCAGCCCAACAGACCUGCUGCUCCACGAUCGCCUACAUAAGGUCCUGCUGGAGUGUCCUUCACCCCAUGCAGGGUGUGAAAUCUAUCCCAGCCUCUGUCUGGACAGAUUCCUCUAACCCAGAAGAGCAAGAAUGUGACACCCAUGAGAGAAGCUUGGAGAAGAAAGUUCUCCUCCCACAUGGGCACCAGGUAGCUGUGCAAUAAACCUCUCGAAACUCUUUCGCUACCUUCUAAAUCCCCCACCUGCGCCGUCAUUUUGAGGCAAGAAACAAUUUCUGGGAGAAGUAUCCUACAGUACCCGAGAUGCUAUUCAGACAAAAUAAAUGGGAAAUACCCUAUACAAGAAUGCCAAAGAAACAAUUCAAUCCAAAUCUGUAUGGUUUUACUCUGUAAGAAACAAUAGAGUUCUGCUUGCUGUUCUCUCAUUUUAUGAGACAUAACACCAGUGCUGGAUAACAUCGAAGUGUAUGCAGCAAUAAUAAAGUGAUUUUUAAAGGUUUGAUUUGAGCAGUUUGAAAUCUCAUUCCAGAUCAUACAGUCUCGGAGCUGGUGCUAUUUGUAAUCUGCCAUGACAUCAGUUUAUAACCAGGUGUAAAGACAUGGGGAAAAAAGUCGUCUUCCAGAACCUAUCAUGGUCCUUAUGAGCUGUAUUUCCACAGAAAAUAAACUCUAGGAUGCAGCUCCACAAACUGAAGAGUUCUGCCUCUGAUAUUGAUGAAAGCAGCAUUCCUUUGUGGAAACAAAUUCUGGAGGAACAGAUUGUCAGAAGGACAGGAGAGUUUGCUAUGGCACUAGAUAAAUCUGGCAUCGAAGUCAAAAAGAAGAGGAAAUGCAGAACCAUGUGUCAUCAGAUUACCAAAGAUAGUACUUUCUUUAUCAAUCUAUGAAUGUUGAAUGGAAGAAUUAACUGUACAGAAGCAUUUGGAAAAUACAUUUUUAUCCCAGGGAAGUGAAGAACAAGAGAAACCACUCAAUCAUUUCUAAGAAUGAUUACAAGGAGCCAGACCAAUUGAAAGUAGUCACUCCUCCUGUCAGGUUACACAGUUGGCUCAAGAAUAUUUCAUGCCAUGCCUCAACCAUAAACACAAGUAGUAUUCAGGCUGUAGUUUUGGUUGCAAGACAUCACUACAUUUUUUGGUGCAUUGCCUCAUUCAGCUGAAAUUCUUUCCAAUGGAUGUUUACCCUUGAACUCUCUGGAUUUACAGUGUCUGCUUCAUUUCAAUGAGCCUGUGAUUUUUUCAUCCACAAAUUACAAAUACUUGCUCUUAGCAUUACUGUAGAAUUUCAAGACCUUUCUUUUCUCCUUGGUAUUUGCCCCGUUUCCACUAAAUCCCCUACCAUUAAAUGGGUAACUGUAAACAAACAAAUACGGGGACAGGAACUGUAAUCUCCAUAUGUUAUCUAGCUAUUUGUUUUGAAAAGAGAGAGCAGAUUCAGGGCAGAAGACAUCCUGUCUUGAUGACAAUGAAAAAAUGGUUCAAUUUGACCUUUCUAAGCUUCUACCUUCCUUUCUCAAAAUCAGUUCUACCCAUCACUCCUUACACUUCUCAGCAAUUAGAAACGAACAUUAUUUGUUCAUGUUCCUGUCAGCCUGCACAGAAUUGUCUCAUGUUGUUACUGUUAUUUACAUUACCCUGGUGGCAUAUUGAUGAAAACAUACUCACAGCACAGACUUCUCUAGCCACUCCAAUGUAAUGGGAUCAACAGUACUCUAUAAUCAGCCAACAAAUCCUCAUACUAUCAUGUAGUAUGAUCAUUUACAGAAAUUAUUUUUAAGAAGCAUUCAUUUUUAAUUCUGACCAUCCCAUUCAUAUACCUCCAAGUACCUGCCCUUCCCGUUCUUUUCAGUUCUUAUUCUGAACUCACUACCAGCCUCCAGAAAAACAGAUUCCCAUUCCUGGUUUACAAUUUUCUGUUGAAAUUGUUCUUCACUGCAAAAAUCUGUAAAUGAAAAUUCACUCUAAUCAUAUAUCAAAGGCAUGUGAUACUUUCUUUUGGUGACUUCUAUAAGUUAUCUAAAUGUACUGACACCACCAGAGUUAUUAAUAUAUUUUUUCUGAUACCCUUUUUUAUCUGUUCCUUUUCAGUUCUGCUAGACAUAAGGGGUUCCCAAGGAAACAGUGAUAUUGUAACCUAGUUUUAUAUAUCACCAUAAAAUGUCUUUCACUAAGGGUCUCAUUAUACUUACUCCCAUUUCCUUCCUCAUAGCAACUACUAAAUGAGUUGGUAGAUUCAUUGUUGAAGCAUGUGAAGUGUAAGUCUUCUCUGGAAAGGAAAUGCUGACAUCUGCUUUAUAACAUUUUGUAUAAGGAAAAAAAUCCAGUGUAACUAAUUAUUUGUUAUUUCUGUCGCAAUUUGAAACUCAGAAAACAUUUUUAUGUAGCUGACAAGAAGGGAACUUCUAAGUAUUCUGUUAUAGAUCAGUGAAUGAAGAAAAUUAAAAACAUAUUCUUGGUUGAAAAUGACCAGUACUCAGACUCCCAGUGGAUCAAAUCCGAUGUAUAACCACCAAGAAAUGUAUCCUGCAGGGCAUUUCAUGGAAGAAAUCUGCAAAGGAGUCCUCAAAUUCCCAUAGAAGAAGGAAAAACUACACUUCAACAAACUGUGUUUUCCAGGUCCUGUACUAAGUGCUAUCCAACCAUCAUGGGCUGUUUUUCUGGUGCAGUCUUGGAUCUUUCCCAGCUUUCUCCUGUCUAAAUUGAGGACAUAUUAUAUAAUGUCACCAAAUUGUCACUGACUGCUUUCAGGAGGAUUUUGCUACUCUCGAUGCAAUUUUUUUUAAGCUCCAAGCAAAUUUCUAUUAGUUGGAUACUUCCCCACAAGUGAUUUGAACAAUGCUAGGUACUUAUGGGUAGGAGUUAGGUUUUUUAAUUGUUUCUCUCAUUCCCUAUAGAAGAGGGUCAUCCAUAGUAUACACUGUACUGACCAUAACCAACUAUACUCAGUGAAAGAGUUCCUUCCAAUUUCACUGGUGCUAAGGAUCUGUCUGCAGUAGAUGGAAAGAUAUUGGUCUUUUAUUUACAGAAUACAUUUUUUCUCCAGUCUAUGCAUAUGAUCAGUAUCUUUACUGAGUCAGUGUUGAAUUUCUUAAGUUGUGCUGAAGUGUGUAUUUUUUACCCACUUCCAAACCCUUUCCUUACUCAAGGAGAACCAUUAACAAAAACUUUUUGGAUUAGAGGACAGGGGUUUCUCCAUGGGCAUCAUGGGGACUGUUUGGGGUUAUGGAGGAUGUUCAACCUUAUUCCAAAAUCAAUCAGAUUGAUUUGCCUUCUUUCAGUGGACCGAGGAGCUGGGAUCCAGCUUGUAUUUUGAAAUGCAAUAUGGUAGAGGCUCUGGAAGGUGGGUUUUCUCCAAGCGCAGCUGGCUGAAAACUGAAGAGAGGCUCAGAUCAAUUAGAUAGUUUUCUGGUUUAAGGUUGGGAGAGUUGGGGUUGCUCAGCCUGGAGAAGAGAAGGCUCUGGGAACAUUAAUGUGGCCUUUAAGUACCUAAAGAGGGUCUGUAAGUUAGAUAUGUUUUAGUACCGCCUGUUGCAAACUGAAGUAGAUAUAUAGAAAGAAGAUUUUUUUAUCAUGGGGUAGUAAAACUGGAAUGUGUUGCUGAGAGAGGUGGUGGACUAGAUGACCUUUAAAGGCUCCUUCCAACCUGAAAAAAAAUGCAUUCUAUGAUUCUAUGAAUGGGAUACUUGAUAAACAUGAUUUCUGCAGCUUGGAUGUUUUGUUCAUAGCAUUAUACACAGACACAGAGUACAUAAGUUUGAAAAUAUGAUGAAUACUAUAAUCUUUAUUAUGUCUCAUUCCUGCAGUUCUGUUUCCAUGCUCAAUUUGAAAUAUUCUGUCAUAUUUGUGACAUAAAAAAUGCUGCAUUAAAGGUGCAGGCUAAAAUCUUUAUAGGAUCUUAAACACAUUUUCUGCCUGAAUUUGACCGUUCAAUUUUUAUUGUUCAGUUAGUUGACUGAAAGUCAAAGGAGGAAGUUUUGAAAGAACCUAAAAAUUUCAUGUAGUGACAAUUCUUUGGUUAUACAUUUCUAUUUGAUUUUCAACCUUUACCAGUGAUGUUUCUAAGUAACUUAGUAGCAAGUUAAUUCUUAAAAUCUAACAGUCCUGAUAGUAAUAAAUCAACAAUGUUCCAAUUGUCCAGCCAAAAGAAUUGUAGAAUCAAAAAUCCUACCAAAACCACACGAGUCUAUUUCUUUUGGUCACUUGCAGACCAUUCAUUGGUAUUUAAUACCUUUAUUAGUAUUAAAAAUUGUCCCCAUCUUGA